rnacentral:rRNA from 1 species
UACGUAGGGUGCGAGCGUUAAUCGGAAUUACUGGGCGUAAAGCGUGCGCAGGCGGUUUUGUAAGCCAGAUGUGAAAUCCCCGGGCUCAACCUGGGAAUGGCAUUUGGGACUGCAAGGCUCGAGUGCGGCAGAGGAGACUGGAAUUCCUGGUGUAGCAGUGAAAUGCGUAGAUAUCAGGAGGAAGACCAGUGGCGAAGGCGGGUCUCUGGACAGUUCCUGACGCUGAGGCACGAAGGCCAGGGGAGCAAACGGG